AUUACUCCUACGGGAGGCAGCAGUGGGGAAUUGUUCGCAAUGGGCGCAAGCCUGACGACGCAACGCCGCGUGGAGGAUGAAGACCUUCGGGUCGUAAACUCCUUUCGAUCGAGACGAAUGUUUUUCGGCUGAAUAAUCCGGAAAACUUCGUGACGGUACCGAGAGAAGAAGCCCCGGCUAACUCUGUGCCAAUCUUCUCAGCAGCCGCGGUAAUACAGGGGGGGCAAGCGUUGUUCGGAAUUACUGGGCGUAAAGGGCUCGUAGGUGGCCAACUAAGUCAGACGUGAAAUCCCUCAGCUUAACUGGGGAACUGCGUCUGAUAUGGAUGGCUUGAGUUUGAUCCAGGUGUAGCGGUGAAAUGCGUAGAUAUCUGGAGGAACACCGGUGGCGAAGGCGGCAUCCUGGACCAACACUGACACUGAGGAGCGAAAGCCAGGGGAGCAAACGGGAUUAGAUACCCCGGUAGUCCUGGCCCUAAACGAUGAAUGCUUGGUGUGGCGGGUAUCGAUCCCUGCCGUGCCGAAGCUAACGCAUUAAGCAUUCCGCCUGGGGAGUACGGUCGCAAGGCUGAAACUCAAGG
rnacentral:rRNA from 1 species